CAAAUGACAGAACAGCUUUAAUAAGUUCAGAAAAUUGCAUUCCGUUACUGUAAUGCAGCCUUUAAAACCAGGAAGACAACACUUAUGCCAUAUCAAGAUAUUACAAUAUCCCAAAUCCCAGCCAACAGCUAG